GUAGUACUCCCUCCGUCGGAAAUACUUGUCAUCAAAAUGAAUAAAAGGGGAUGUAUCUAGAUGUAUAUUAGUUCUAGAUAUAUCUUUUUUAUCCAUUUUGAUGACAAGUAUUUUUGGAUGGAGGGAGUACUUG
rnacentral:pre_miRNA from 1 species